GGGAUAUAAAAUUCACAAGCAAUUAAGCUCUUGCGAUGUCUAAGGGAGGUUAACUGGAGGGAGAAACUGACAGACCUCUUGUGAGCUACGCUGAACCUGCCUUGUUUUGUUAAGAGAACUGUUUCUCCAGAAGAAGUCUUUUAGAUUGCUCUCCUCCGUUCCCCGUGGAAGUCUUCAUAUCUCACCAUGCAGACUGAAGAAGUCAGAUGGGACCCAAACAGAUGUUUUAGAGAGGGGGAAUUACUAACAAAUCUCCCCUCCGACUUCUUCCUGCUGUCUUGUGCUUGGGAGACAUUGUUUUAAAGAUCUCCUUGAUUUCUGUACCAUUUCUCUCUGGAACCUAUCCGUAAAGCAGGGAUCACUGUGACCACCUUUUCUCAGACAGUACAUGGUUUG
rnacentral:lncRNA from 1 species